UUUAACUCAUAACCAUUUUUUUAAUCCAUAAUCCAAUUCUUCAACCCAUUUCAAUCACAAGCCAAUCAUCAUAAUAGUAGCAAUUAUAUACAUACAGUACUAACUUCACAUUGAAUUCUAUUAUUUUUACAACAUACAUUCAGCAUUAGCAUGAUAAAUACAAUUCCAUCCUAUUACACCCAUUGUCUAUAUCCUAAGGCAAAUAACUAUGGACAACACGGAAACAGUUACGGUUAUGCCAUGAAUUUGCAAAUGUGAUUCUUCCAAACUUCCAACUGAAAACACCAGCUGCAGCAGAACCAAGCCUGCUUUCAAUCAGACCUUCAAAACCUUGCAGCAAAC
rnacentral:lncRNA from 1 species